rnacentral:rRNA from 1 species
GACGGAGGGUGCUAGCGUUGUUCGGAAUUACUGGGCGUAAAGAGCUCGUAGGCGGUUUGUUGCGUCGGCUGUGAAAACCCGGGGCUCAACUCCGGGCCUGCAGCCGAUACGGGCAGACUAGAGUUCGGCAGGGGAGACUGGAAUUCCUGGUGUAGCGGUGAAAUGCGUAGAUAUCGAGAGGAACACCAGUGGCGAAGGCGAGUCUCUGGACGACUCCUGACACUGAGGCACGAAAGCUAGGGGAGCAAACAGG